CGCUGGCGGCAGGCCUAACACAUGCAAGUCGAGCGCGCCUUCGGGUGAGCGGCGGACGGGUUAGUAACGCGUGGGAACGUGCCCUUCUCUACGGAAUAGCCUCUGGAAACGGAGAGUAAUACCGUAUACGCCCUUUGGGGGAAAGAUUUAUCGGAGAAGGAUCGGCCCGCGUUAGAUUAGGUAGUUGGUGGGGUAACGGCCUACCAAGCCUACGAUCUAUAGCUGGUUUUAGAGGAUGAUCAGCAACACUGGGACUGAGACACGGCCCAGACUCCUACGGGAGGCAGCAGUGGGGAAUCUUAGACAAUGGGGGCAACCCUGAUCUAGCCAUGCCGCGUGAGUGAUGAANGCCUUANGGUCGUAAAGCUCUUUCGCCUGUGAUGAUAAUGACAGUAGCAGGUAAAGAAAACCCCGGCUAACUCCGUGCCAGCAGCCGCGGUAAUACGAGGGGGUUAGCGUUGAAGCCGAAUU
rnacentral:rRNA from 1 species